rnacentral:rRNA from 1 species
AGUGAACGCUGGCGGUAGGCCUAACACAUGCAAGUCGAACGGCAGCACAGUAAGAGCUUGCUCUUACGGGUGGCGAGUGGCGGACGGGUGAGGAAUACAUAGGCAUCUACUUUUUCGUGGGGGAUAACGUAGGGACACAUAUGCUAAUACCGCAUAUGAUCUACGGGUGAAAGCAGGGGAUCUUCGGACCUUGCGCGAUUCAAUGAGACGAUGUCGGAUUAGCUAGUUGGCGGGGUAAAGGCCCACCAAGGCAACGAUACGUAGCUGAUCUGAGAGGAUGAUCAGCCACACUGGAACUGAGACACGGUCCAGACUCCUACGGGAGGCAGCAGUAGGGAAUAUUGGACAAUGGGCGCAAGCCUGAUCCAGCCAUGCCGCGUGAGUGAAGAAGGCCUUCGGGUUGUAAAGCCCUUUUAUUGGGGAAGAAAAGCAGCAGAUGAAUACCCCGCUGUUCUGACGGUACCCAAAGAGUAAGCACCGGCUAACUUCGUG